AGAAACUUAGGAUAGCAG
rnacentral:tRNA from 1 species